UACGUAGGGGGCAAGCGUUGUCCGGAUUUACUGGGCGUAAAGGGUGCGUAGGCGGUAUUUUAAGUCAGAUGUGAAAUAUCCGAGCUUAACUCGGAGGGUGCAUUUGAAACUGGGAUACUUGAGUGCAGGAGAGGAAAGUGGAAUUCCUAGUGUAGCGGUGAAAUGCGUAGAUAUUAGGAGGAACACCAGUGGCGAAGGCGACUUUCUGGACUGUAACUGACGCUGAGGCACGAAAGCGUGGGGAGCAAACAGGAUUAGAUACCCUGGUAGUCCACGCUGUAAACGAUGGAUACUAGGUGUAGGGAGCGAUAGCUCUCUGUGCCGCAGCUAACGCAAUAAGUAUCCCGCCUGGGGAGUACGAUCGCAAGGUUGAA
rnacentral:rRNA from 1 species